CCUACGGGUGGCAGCAGUGAGGAAUAUUGGUCAAUGGGCGGGAGCCUGAACCAGCCAAGCCGCGUGAAGGAAGAAGGCGCCAGGCGUCGUAAACUUCUUUUGUCGGGGAACAAAGGGCGCCACGCGUGGCGUUGUGAGUGUACCCGAAGAAAAAGCAUCGGCUAACUCCGUGCCAGCAGCCGCGGUAAUACGGAGGAUGCGAGCGUUAUCCGGAAUUACUGGGCGUAAAGGGUGUGCAGGCGGCUGAGUAAGACAGAUGUGAAAUCCCCGGGCUUAACCUGGGAACCGCAUAUGUGACUGCUUGGCUAGAGUGCGUCAGAGGGAGGUGGAAUUCCACGUGUAGCAGUGAAAUGCGUAGAUAUGUGGAAGAACACCGAUGGCGAAGGCAGCCUCCUGGGACGCAACUGACGCUCAUACACGAAAGCGUGGGGAGCAAACAGGAUUAGAUACCCGAGUAGUC
rnacentral:rRNA from 1 species